AGUCGAGCGAGGGGAGUUCUUCGGAAAAACCUAGCGGCGGACGGGUGAGUAACACGUGGGUAACCUGCCUCAGUGAGGGGGAUAGCCUUCCGAAAGGAAGAUUAAUACCGCAUAAUAUCUGAUGAUCACAUGGUCAUUUGAUUAAAGGAGUAAUCCGCACUGAGAUGGACCCGCGGCGCAUUAGCUAGUUGGUGAGGUAACGGCUCACCAAGGCCACGAUGCGUAGCCGACCUGAGAGGGUGAUCGGCCACAUUGGAACUGAGAUACGGUCCAGACUCCUACGGGAGGCAGCAGUGGGGAAUAUUGCACAAUGGGCGAAAGCCUGAUGCAGCAACGCCGCGUGAGUGAUGAAGGCCUUCGGGUUGUAAAACUCUGUCUUUGGGGACGAUAAUGACGGUACCCAAGGAGGAAGCCACGGCUAACUACGUGCCAGCAGCCGCGGUAAUACGUAGGUGGCAAGCGUUGUCCGGAUUUACUGGGCGUAAAGGAUGCGUAGGUGGAUAUGCAAGUCAGAUGUGAAAUACCCGGGCUUAACUCGGGUGCUGCAUUUGAAACUAUAUAUCUAGAGUGCAGGAGAGGUAAGUGGAAUUCCUAGUGUAGCGGUGAAAUGCGUAGAGAUUAGGAAGAACACCAGUGGCGAAGGCGACUUACUGGACUGUAACUGACACUGAGGCAUGAAAGCGUGGGGAGCAAACAGGAUUAGAUACCCUGGUAGUCCACGCCGUAAACGAUGGGUACUAGGUGUAGGGGGUAUCGAUUCCUUCUGUGCCGCAGUAACACAAUAAGUACCCCGCCUGGGGAGUACGGUCGCAAGAUUAAAACUCAAAGGAA
rnacentral:rRNA from 1 species